ensembl:lncRNA protein FAM104A-like
GGGCACCGGACGUGACGUCCUCCCAUGAUCAGCCAAUCCCGCGCCGCCCUCGUGUUUACAGUCUGAGUUCCGCGCAUGCGCUCUAGCAUGUAAAUAACAGCAACCGCGGCGGUGGUUUGUUUGGUGUCGCACAGGCUCAUCAAAUAGACGAAUAACCGGGUUAUAUUUACAGAGAACGUUAUUAUAUCUGCUACGUUCAUGAAAGUAAGUCUGGAGGAAGAAUAACUUACAGCGUUAAAUUAGUAGAACAGGACGUUUGAAUUUACAGCUAGUGAAGUGUCAGUUAGCACCCAGCUAUGAUAGAGACUAGCCGGAGGAGUUAGAGUUUGACACAUUUGUUACGGUAGAAUCAACUAAAUACGAUUUUCACUUAUUUUGAUUCAUAAUUGUCUCAUAAUUACCAAUUCAUAAACUCGCUUUCAGUUGGACAGGGAUGAGAGUAUUUAGUGUCUAAAUGUGUUAUGCUGUAUUCAGUGUAGUAUGACACAGCAGGCUGUCGAUCAGAGUAACACAGCUGAUCCAGGAGCGAAUGCUGCUCAAUAAAACACUCAAGACCAUUAUUCAAGACCAUUAAUCUGCUGUGGGAUUCGCAGAAAUGCUUACAGAAAACAGGAAACGUCAGCGCGCUGAAGGUGAUGAUGAAGAUGCUCGGAUGCCUCAGGCCAAACGACUGAGUUCAGUCCUCCAGAGCUCAGAGACGGGUAGAGAAUCAUGGGAGUCUGAGUCUUCCAGUAGCGAGAGCAGUUGGAUCAGCAGUCCGGAUCACGCCGCAGGGAGCAGCAGCAGUAGCCAUUGUGGAGUGGAUGUUAUCGGGCCCCACGGCGGCCCCGGCCCCUGCAGUCCCCACAGUGCCUCUAAGCAGUCGGACCCCAUGGACCUGCUGUCCUACCAGCACAUCAACCGUGUCCUGAGGGAAGCCCAUUUCCACAGCUUACAGAGCCGAGCUCAGUCCAAGCACAGGUGACUUUCAGGGACAGAUUAACCCCAUAGUGGACCCCUAGAAGACAGGGUAAAACUUCUUCAUCUCCAUCCUCGUUCAAACCUGCUCCUACUUUCUAGAUCUCUCUGCUAUAGCUCAUUUUAUGUUGAUAUUUUAUUGGAUGGAAAACAUGCCCUGGUACUGUAAGCUCUUUGACUAACUAGAGCACAAAAGUGUUCAUUGUAAGCAAUAACGGCUUGAUUAUGAUGCAAACUUUUGUGACUUUCACACUGUGUACUUUUCUUCUGAAAACAGCUGUAUUGAGAAUUAAGAUGCGGUUUAGUGGGGAUUUGCACUUGGGAAUUUAUGUUGAUCAGAUAUUGAUGUGGACCAUAUAGCAAUGCAGCUGAGCACAUUUAGAUGGGAGGCAUAAAUAUUCCAAUGCACCUCUGAUUAGUGAACUCCAUUGCAGUGCUGUAACGAAUGCAUAAAGACGGCAGUCGAUUUAAUAUGAAAGACUGCGCUGAUGGGCAGAUCUGGGGAAUUUCUUUAUAAUCUUGAAACAGUGGCUCAGAGGUUCUGCCGGAUCUCUUGCCUCCCAACCAUCACUGAAGCUGGUUGCUCAUCCAGGCAUCAGGCCUUCGAGACCCUGCGGAGGUUUUCUUGUGUGCUAUUCAAAUACUGCAUUUUAAAGAUUGUUGUUUAUUUUACUAUACCUUUUUGUAAUGAAAGAUGUACAUUACAUUUUACAUUCAGAUCAUCUACAUUUCUAAAUAAAGAUGGAUGUUCUUAAGCAAACCUGUG